GCUUCCGUAGCUCAGUGGUUAGGGCACCAGUCACAUACACUGAGGAAGGCAGGUUUGAACCUGUCUGGGGCC
rnacentral:tRNA from 1 species